CCCUUAGAUGCUCUGGGCCGCACGCGCGCUACACUGGUCGAUGCAACGAGUUUCUUUCCUUGGCCGACAGGCCUGGGCAAUCUUUGAACAUCGAUCGUGAUCGGGAUAGAUUCUUGUAAUUUUUGAUCUUAAACGAGGAAUUCCUAGUAAACGCAAGUCAUCAGCUUGCAUUGAUUACGUCCCUGCCCUUUGUACACACCGCCCGUCGCACCUACCGAUUGGAUGGUCCGGUGAGAAUUUCGGAUUGUAGAUACGUCGCUUUUAUUAGGGAUGUGUCCGCGAGAAGUUAUUCAAACCUUACCAUCUAGAGGAAGGUGAAGUCGUAACA
rnacentral:rRNA from 1 species